AGAAGACUGGCUUCUCCAUGAUGGUUUAUGGACUAAGGCAAAGAUGAGCAGAGCCAUGGCCCUCUUCUUUGUUCUCUGCUGGAUCCAAGAGUCGGGGGUCUCCCUAUGUUUCCCAGGCUGGCCUCGAACUCCUGACCUCAAGUGAUCCUCCCACCUCAGCCUCCCCGAGUGCUGGGAUUAAAGACGUGAGCCACGGCACCUGGCCUGAAUUUUCCUCAAAUUCAAAAAAUCCUGAUGAAGGUUUGGCUAAAAUCUUUGAUGAAAUUGUGCUCCAAGUGUUUUCCAAGGUUCCGUAUGACCCAUCAUUUGAUGAAACAAGAACAGCAGUCAGAUCCAUUACAAAGAGAGACACACAAAAAAACUAUGUGAAAAUGAGCUUAGCCCCUGGUGUUGUGUUGGAACUUCAGAUGCUUGCAGACACUUCAUGAAUGCUCUGUGACACUCAGAAUAGGCUAUUCCCAACAGAAGAGCUUGAACAAUGCUGCAUUUGCAUCAGGUUCAAAUGAGCGAGAGGAACAUUUGGCUAAAAUAUUUGAUGAAAUUCUACUGCAGGUGUUUCCAAAGUUUCCGUAUGACCCAUCAUUUAACGAAGCAACAGCAGUCAGAUCCAUUACAAAGACAGACAUGAGAAAAGGAACCAGCAUUGCUUGGAAUUCUCCUAAACCAGAAUAUUUCCUUGGCAGUGUGGACAAAAUUCCUGAUAAAGAUCACCUUUCAGAGGAGAAGAAUUUUAAAGAAUCCUGUCUGUUCGACAGGGAUUUAAGAGAGCAGUUAACUACUAUAGAUAAAGAAACACUUCAAGGAGCAGCUAAACCAGAUGCUCACUUUAGGACUAUGCCCUGCGGGCAGCUUCUGCACUUCCUGCAGAGGAACACCAUCAUCGCCGCCGUCUCAGGGGUGGCCAUCCUCAUGGCCAUCGUGCUGUUGCUGCUUGGGUUGGCCUCAUACAUCAGGAAGAAACAGCCAUCAUCUCCUCUGGCAAACACGACAUAUAAUAUUUUUAUAAUGGAUGGAAAGACAUGGUGGCACAAUUCUGAAGAAAAAAAUUUCACAAAACUUGCAAAAAAACAGAAACAGUUGAAGAGCAGCUCCUGUGUCUAAGCCAGGUCGUGGGGCCGUCAAACCAGGACUUGAAACCACAAUGCGAGGACAUUCUCCAUCUGCGCACCACAGGGAGGCAAUUCCAUUUCUGCCCGGGAGGUGUAUUCUACAAAAACGUCUGCUUCCCAUCCCAAUUUGAAUGGACCAAGAAAAACUGCUUUACCAUAGGACACUUGUGGCAAUAUGGCACCGAUGGCUGGCGUCGGUGAACCCGACAGACUAUGGAUUUAUCAUUUAAUAAAGCAUUGAUUCAUU
rnacentral:misc_RNA from 1 species